CACGUAAGUUGCGAGCGUUGUUCGGAAUUAUUGGGCGUAAAGGGCAUGUAGGCGGUCUUGCAAGUCUGGUGUGAAAUCCCGGGGCUCAACCCCGGAACUGCGUUGGAAACUGCAUGACUUGAGUCACUGAGGGGCAUCCAGAAUUCCAGGUGUAGGGGUGAAAUCUGUAGAUAUCUGGAAGAAUACCAAUGGCGAAGGCAGGGUGCCAGCAGAUGACUGACGCUGAGGUGCGAAGGUGCGGGGAGCAAAC
rnacentral:rRNA from 1 species